rnacentral:lncRNA from 12 species
AACAAAAUAAGUUUAUUUCCUCAUGGUUUGAGAGUCCAAAAGUCUGAAAUCAAAGUGUCAGCAGGGCUGUGCUCUCCCUGAAGGCUCAAAGGGAUCAUUGGUUCUGUGCUUUUCUCUUAGCAUGUAUUUGUGACAGUCCUUGGCUUGUGUGUGCAUCAUUCCUGUCUCUGUCGCCUCAUCCCAUGGCCUCAUCCCCCAUGUCUAUCUGCAUGUCCUUUCCUGUCUCUUACAAAGAUUUCAUGGAAUUAGGGCCCACCUCCAUCCAGCACGAUCUCAUCUCCAUCCUCACCUUAAAUUUUGCAAAGAUACUAUUUCCAAAGGAAUCAUAUCAGAUCUGGAGGUUCUGAAUGGGGGGAGGGGGGGGAGGAGGGACUCUUCAACCCACCGCACUCUCUUCCUGUUGCAGUUCCUGUUUGUGAUUAUCACGUGUCUGUGUCAGGUGAUGGUCCUGUCCCUAAGAGUGAGGCUAUCUUCAUUCUGGACCAUCAGCCACUGGUGCCAAGCCCCUCAAGCAAGAACUCCAAGCACAUAUCCAUUAGCCUCGUCCGGGCUCUGUGUGGACAACAAGUGACCACGAGCGUCCUGAUUUCCGACCACAUAAAACAGAAGUCCCAAACUCAGCGUGUCGGCCGGGCUGUGCUCCUUCUGGACACUGUAAGAAGAAUCUGUUCUGUCUUUUUCUGCAUCUGGAGGUGCCUUCAUCCCUGGGUUUAUGACCUCUGCCUCCAUCUUCAAAGUGGGCAGGGACGCAGCCUCAACCCCCUCCCUCUUCCUUCUUUCAAGGGCCCUGUGGUGAUGCUGUGCUUGCUCAGAUGACCCAAGACAAUCUCCCUGUUUUAAAAUUUGUAACCCAAUUGCACCUGCCACGUCCCUUCUGCUAUGUAAGGUCACAUACUGGCAGGUUCCAGGGAUUCAAACGGAGAUGUCCUUUGGGGCCAUUAUUCUGACGACCAUAGACGUCUGGGACGACCCUCCCCACCCCGCACUCGGCUACCUCCACCCAGAUCCUUGCCUCAGGCUCUGCCUCUGGAGGACUCAAACCCACCAGAUGCACGCUGCCCCUCGGCCCUUGCAGCUUCCUUGUCCUGUCCUAUAGGGAACCCAUGUGGGAUGUCUGUGUGGCACCUGACCUCAUGCUGCCGCCAUGCCCACCUGCAUCCUAGCGCACCCCCAUCAGCCGGUGUUCCCGGUGGCCCUGGAGUUUCCCCUCUGGAAGAGCAAGUUUUGUCUCCAAGUUGAUCCUGACGGCCUAUUCACCUUACAGGAAAGACCCCAAAUGAGGAAACAUUGGCUGCUUUCCCUGAACCUCCCAGCGCCCCUCUGCCUACUGUAGCUGGGAUCCCCAGGCUGCCAGGGUGCCUGAGACUGAGCGGACACCCUGCUCAGCUGAGGUGACCAGGCCACAGGACAGCGGGGCCUCUCUUGGUAGAGGGAAGAUUUUUUCCUACACUCCUGGGCCUGGGAGUUGAAUCUGGCUGCCCCAGUACAAAACCCAGCUCUUCCACUCCCUAGCUGGGUGACACUGGGCCAAUCAUUUCAUUUCCCUAAGCCUGCACUUUCCCAUCUGAGAAAUGGGACAGUAUUUACCUAGUCCAGGGAUGGUGCCGCAGAAGCCAAAGCUGCACUUGAGGAGAAGGCAGCGGCGGGAUUGGCCACAGCUCCACCAAGUCUGGACUUUAUCUUGAAAGUCCCUUGAGGCUUUCAUGACAUUGCUCAACUGGAG